rnacentral:rRNA from 1 species
UACGUAGGGCGCAAGCGUUAUCCGGAAUUAUUGGGCGUAAAGGGCUCGUAGGCGGUCUGUUGCGUCGGGAGUGAAAACUCAGGGCUUAACCCUGAGCCUGCUUCCGAUACGGGCAGACUAGAGGUAUGCAGGGGAGAACGGAAUUCCUGGUGUAGCGGUGAAAUGCGCAGAUAUCAGGAGGAACACCGGUGGCGAAGGCGGCCAUCUGGACGGCUAUUGACGCUGAGACGCGAAAGCAUGGGGAGCAAACAGG